rnacentral:rRNA from 1 species
CACGGGGGGAGCAAGCGUUGUUCGGAAUCACUGGGCGUAAAGGGCGUGUAGGCGGUCAGGUUAGUGAGAUGUGAAACGCCCCGGCUCACCCGGGGACCUGCAUCUCAAACUGCCUGGCUUGAGUAUGGGAGAGGAUGAGGGAAUUCCUGGUGUAGCGGUGAAAUGCGUAGAUAUCUGGAGGAACACCGGUGGCGAAGGCGGCUACCUGGACAGAAACUGACGCUGAGGCGCGAAAGCUAGGGGAGCAAACAGG